rnacentral:rRNA from 1 species
CACGUAGGCACCAAGCGUUGUCCGGAUUUAUUGGGCGUAAAGGGCUCGUAGGCGGCCAACUAAGUCAGACGUGAAAUCCCUCGGCUUAACCGGGGAACUGCAUCUGAUACUGGAUGGCUUGAGUUCGGGAGAGGGAUGCGGAAUUCCAGGUGUAGCGGUGAAAUGCGUAGAUAUCUGGAGGAACACCGGUGGCGAAGGCGGCAUCCUGGACCGGCACUGACGCUGAGGAGCGAAAGCCAGGGGAGCAAACGGG